CCCAACUUGAUUUGCAUGCAGUUCAUCACAACAACCGAAUAACAAAAUGCAAUGACCUACGAAGCUAGAUUCCUCAGUUGCAAACGAAUCAUGUUCUUCAGGCCCAGUAUGCCGUAAAAGAAGAAGCGAAUAUGGCAAGUGAAUGAGUGAUAAUACAAGCAAAGAGAGGGAGGGGCGAUCUUAGAAGGUUCUGGCUUCGCUGAGUGCGGUGGCUCUCCGGCCUGUCUCAGGCGAUGGGUGCUGCUGGCUGGUCGUCGUCGACGAGGAGGAGGGAUUUUUAGUUUGUGAAUUUAGGAAUGGGAGUCUGAGGCGUGGCAUCAAGGAUCAGGGCUCAAGGGAAAUGGUGGUUGAAAGUAAUUCCCCGGCAAUACUCUCUCAGUCAGACACGUCGUCGUCUAUUGUUCUUACAAUUUCUACCGCAAGCAAAUCAGACCCGAAAAUUCCCUUUCAAGCUUCACAUUCCACAAAAUUCACAAAGACCAAGGAAUGGAAAUGGAGGAUUUGGACGUCUUGUGAUAAUGAAUAUACUCGGGGGUUGAGUGCACGAUCGCUUCUUUCCUUCUCUGCAUCUCUUUAGCUACAUUUUGUAUGAUGCAGGAAAACUCACUUAGAGCGACUAUUUUUCCCCCUUAUUUAAGAUGUGGUUAUUGCAGGAUCUGAUAUAAUUAUAGUAAUUCUAUGCAGUUGCUGCAAACAUGGAGGAAGCAUACUGCUCCAGUCCAGUAUUUUGUGAAAAAAAAUACUCUGUUUUGGCUAUCAAUUAUUGGAUGAAAUUAUUUUUUUUCUAAGAGCUUAAAUGAUCAAUUAUCUUCUGUUGUAGAUCAUUUGGCGCGCCUGAUGAUUGGAUCUUCCAAACUUGGCUUCCCCCCCUUUUUUUUUAAUGCUUUCGACUUAUUUUCUUUCAAUUGUCAUAUUUUUCCUUUUUCUCCUAUACCACACUGUAAUCAAUAGUUGUUUGAGACUAAUUUAUUUUUCUUACCGGAAAACAUGAUGGAAUCCUGAAUUCUGGAGUGGCCAUAAAAUCAGAGUGCAGCUCCCAAAAAUAUCUUGCUUUUGUAGUUGAUAUAUAUUUUGAAGGAGGAUCCAUGAUUCAAAAUCCUAUACAAAGCUUGUUUCCAGCAUUACACUCGUCUAUAACCAAAUGAUGGGUGGCCGCAUGAGUCUGUGCAAAAGGAGCAACACGAUUCCAUGCUUCCAUUUCACCAACACUAGAUUUUUAAAUUCUCAUUAACUUGGAUUGCUCAUACAUGCUUUGUUAGUCUUGCCUCACUUUGCCACGACCGUGAGGCGAUGGUGAUUUCUUAUCAGAAUAGACCAGCCGUUAUGUCAAAACUCUAGAGUUCCAAUGCACACUUUAUCCGAGAGAAGCAUUUGUUAGCACCUUACGGCAUUGCAUUUUUGGUUCAUUUGAUGGUAUCAUGCAUCAUGCUUCAUUCACCUAUGCAUCAGUUUGACUUCACUUUAUUAGUUACUUUCUUUUUUUGAUUCUAUGAUUUUUAGGACCGAAGGCUGAAGGUUAAAACCUCUUGACAUGGGUGGAUUGCAAGCUAGCUUCUUCAAUUUUUCGAAUCCCUCGUACAUCAGCAGAUGAUUUCUCAAUGGCUCUUCUGAACAAGGAUAUAAAAGCAUGCAAUAAAGAUGCUGAGAACUAUUUUGUUUCAGUAGUUGGAUGCCUUUCAUGGAAUAUAUUCCCAGCAGGAGUUCUUCAUGUUCUUUGAUAUCAGUCAGCCUUCCCUCUGCAUACAAGGCACAUUUUGUAUGUGCCGCAAGGGGGGCCGCUUUUGUCGAUUAAUAAUUGCGCGGUCAAGAGAAGGAUAUUGCUUUUUGAAAUAUACGUUGGCCAGGUGCAAGCAUUGCCAAGGGGUCAUAAGCAGAUUUUCUCUGCAGAAAUGCCUCCCACCGAGGACCAAAGUGGGCCCUCCAUUCUUCCUGUGUAGUGUAGUGAGGCAAAUAUUGCUUUACCCCAAGACGGGCACUUUCACAGUAUUCUAGAAUUCUUUUAUUUUGAGUUAAAAUAUGUUCGAGGCCAUCAGAUCCAUUGGAAGAAGGAAGUGCAGAGGUCAGAAAUGCCACUAAGUAGAAAAUGUCUUCGUCAGGAAUUACUACAGAAGUUCUGUUGUCCCACCUGCGAACAACAAUAUAUGUUAGUCACAUGUUGAAGGCUAAAAAUAUUGGUGGAGAAAUGAAGAUCGGUUGUUUCAGGAAACAUUACUUUGAUUUGUUUACUGGGUAGAUGAGAAUUGGACCAUUGCUUGUUUCUCUCAAGAUCUUCCCAAAGACACCUUCAGCAAAGUCGUGUACUUUGCUUCUGGGUAUGAAAAGAUUGAGCCACGGGUGUGGAACGUCCCACAAGCCUUUUGACCGCAAUUUGACCUCAGAGACAUGGACUCUGUCUAAGAAAUCAACAUAUGUGACUUCCGUUAGAAAAAGUGUUGAUGGGAUAUAGUUUAAGUGGGACAAAUGUUCUUCAACUUCCUGCAUACGGAAGAAACAUAGUAAGAGAAAGUUGGUAAAUGCCUUAAUAUUUUUGAUUUAAUAACUAACACGUAUUAGUGACUUAUAUAUGAAUAUAUUUGAAGAAUACGGAACUUUAGGUUGACCUGUUGCUUGGCUUACCUCAUUUACCGCAUCAGAAUCUUCCAGACUGAAGUAUUUGGCCAAUUCUAGGCAGAAGAGAGUUCUUCCAUCUGACUUGAACUGAUUAGCUUGAACUGGGUCUUGUGGUUUGAAGGAUGAUCUCCAGUUGUUCAGCAGACCAGUUUUGUUUAUGAUCACAAAUCCCUCAAUGUAAUCGAAUAUGCUUUCUGCAAAUAUUAACUUCUCCUGA